rnacentral:sRNA from 1 species
ACAAACACACACACACACACACACAUCUCCCCUAACUCCCAGAGGUGCAUUUCCGGGGGACUCCCCCCUUUGUCUAUCCACCAGCCAUUUUUACAUCCCAGUGUUGCCUCCUUCCUGGUCCUCUCCUGGCCUCACUGCCCUGCCCCAUUUUGGAUCUGCCAGGGUGGUUUGGUGACACGGACUUCAAUGCUGCACUUGACUUCCCAGCUCCUGCAGGAGCAGAUGUGGGUGCCAGGCUUCCUCCUGCUCUCCAGUCCUGCCGUGGACACCACCCUCCAGCCACACUGCUCUAGGCACAGCCCUUGUCAGACACUAAGCUGUUCCCAAGCACAUCCUGUUUGUCUUGACCCCUGCUACCACAUUUUGCAGACUUUCGAAGGUCAUCAGGGAGGGUGUUACACCUUUUCAGAACCCUCCUGGGCUCUAUCCCUUCUCCCUUUUCGUAUAUCCAGCCCUCUGUGUAAUCAAGUUCUGCAUCAAUAGAGUCAGUCAACCGUCGGUCAAAAAUAUUCAGGGGAAAAGUGCAUUUGUACUGAACAUAUACCGUCUCUUACCACAAUUGCCUAAACAAUACAUAUGUAUUAUUACACAUAUAAUACAAAUGCAUUAAAUAAUGCAAAAAUAUAUAGUAUUAGGAAUUAAUUGCAUGCUGAGAGUCACACACGGAGAUGGCUUUGUGCAAGUGAUACGCAAAUGCAUAGCUGUUUUGCAUGAGGAACUUGAGCAUCGUCCUUGACUUUGGUAUCCCUGGUCGGUUGGGGUUUUGGGGGCGGGGAGAAUCCAUCUUUUAUGCACACCUUUAACCAUUGGAGACUCUUGCAUUACAUAUAGUUAAAUUAUGCUUCCACCCCUAAGCCAGAGGCCUUGGUCUGACAUAAUUUGUCUUUGAGUCUCUGUUUGAUGCAUGUUGAUGUGAAGCAGAGGCGGCCUGUGAAGCUGGGGCACCGGUUUUUCCUGAGCCCCGGCUUCUGCGCUCAUGUGCAAAAGAGAGAAGGAAAUGCUCACUCUCCACUCUUCUCCCUUUCUCCCCGCAGUAGCGGAAUAGCCCAGGAACCAGAAUACCAAACCUGGACAGAGAAAGUCACGGAGAGGACAUCAAUGUCUGUGACCAAGAGAUGACAAUGGAAGGAGUGGCUUGUCACUGGCCUUUCUUCUGAGCCCACUGAUCAAUGCUGGAAGACCAAGUAGAUUGUAACAUGAUAAAUACGAUGUUCUGGAGGUGAACCGAAGGAUUCAAUGUGAUCAGAUGAGUAGGUGUGCGUGCGUGCGUGUGCGUGCGUGUGUGUGUGUGUGUGUGUGUGCGCGCGCGCGCAUGCACACACGUGUUCAUGGGUGCACAUGUCUGCUCAAACAUGUUGAGGCUGGAGGUCAACCUUGGGUUUCAUUCCUUAAGAACAUCACUUUGCUUUUGAGAGGCAGUGUCUCUCACUGGGCAAUUAGGCCUGCUGAUUUGGUUAGGCUAAUGGGCCAGUGACACAUAGGCCUGUCUCCAUCUCCCCAGCUCUGGGAUCACAAGCGCAUGCCAUCAUGCCUGGCUUUUAACAUGCUCUGGACACGGAACCCAGGUCCCUAUGCUUCUACACUAAAUACUUAUUUGACCGAGCUAUGCCACCAACCUACAUUUUAACUGAUUUCAACGUCAAAGUGAGAUAACCACCAUUAAGCAGGCUGGAUAGAUCGCUCCAAGAACACAGAAACGCCAGGGAUCUCUCUGCAUCCUGUUUUCGACACGUCUCGCCCCCAGUCCCUGCGGUCUGGCUGUUUGUGGAGUGAUACAGGUCAACCCAAGAUGGCGGCAAACUGCAGGUGGAUCCCAAGACUAAAACCCUGCCGGUCCUUCUGUUCUGCCCCUUUUCAUGCUCCUUUUGCUUGGCUGGAACUCAAAAGCCAGACUCCUCAGGCAUGGCGAGAGGCCACCUUGUGACCGCAACGCUUUCAUUAUUCAUUAAGCCAUCUUCCCUCCUGCUUGAAAUCCGGGUUUAGCCACAUGGUCUACGCAUCUUCAGUUCUCUCGCAGCCCUCCCCGGGUCACGGACAGAAGGCAGCGCUUCAGACAUCAGCUGCAAAAAUGCAGUUUGCCAAGGUGCUGCAAAGCAGGUCAGCGGCCCGGGCGCUGUGGCCGGGAGCCAGCUCCGUGUCCACUGAAGCCUGAAUAUUUUACACCUAGUGACUCUGAGUUACAGGAUUUAAGAGUUUCAGACACCAGAUUAAACUUGAUUUGAAAGUGGCCCUGGAGGACAUUUGUUAAAGAAAAAUAAAGAUGCUAGAUGCUAGAUGGAGUCUAACGUCCUCUGCAUGGUGGCUCGGUCUACGUACAGUCUAAGGCUGUGUGCUUCUGGAAAUGUCCAGGUGCCAGCUCCUGCCUUCUCUACCUUACCUCAGAGAUGUUGGCAACCGGCCCCUCCCCUGACACCUUCUUUUUAGGUGUCUGUGUGUGGCGUGCGUGCAAGUUCUCAUAGGUGGGUACAUGUGUGUGCACAUGCACAUGGAAGCCAGAGGUCGAGACCAAGAGUCUUAAUCGCUCUGUCAUCUAGUUCAUCAAGGCAGGGUCUCUCAGUCAAACCCAGAGCUCACCAAUGAGACUAGCUGGCUAGCUCCAGGGAUUCCGUCUCAGCUGGUAGAGACUGAAAUUACAAACGGGCUGCAUGUCCACCUGGCAUUUGCUUGUGCAACAAGUACUUUUGCCCCUGAGCCAUGUCCCCAAGCAACGGCACUCCGAACUGCCAAGUUUGUACUGUCAAAAUGAUCUGCUGACUUGUACCAAUGGAUCCAAUAAAUCUGGGAGAUGAGUGUUAUUGUUCCAUUUCACAGAGGAGUCAACCGAGGCUCCAGAAUGAUUAAAAUGAACAGGCACAGAGAGCUGGGGGAGUCAGACUGCUUAUACUUGGCUCCAAAGUUCAUGCUGCGUUCUCGCAUGGCACCCAGCUUGUGGUCACUGAUGGCCCUUAGAGGGCCUCUUGGAGACCAAUUCAGUCCGGCUGAGGCUGUCCAUGGUAACUGGGUAACCUCUUGCCCAGACGCCAUUCUUCACUGUCCUGUUUUGAGCAGUCGGGAUAGCAGGAUCUCCUUGAGGUGGUGGGUUCCCUGCACACAGCUCCAAUGGGACUCCUGAGUCCGCAGACUGAGGAGCAAGCCCUGGUUACUUGUAACCCCACCACUCCAAUGCUUUUGUCUCUGAGGGGCGGGGGGUGGGGUGGGCUGACUUCUCAUGCACGGGAUGAACAGUGGGCUCUGGUUAGCCCAGCACGGCGGGCUCAGGCAAAUGAAUAGCCGCAGGUGGGGGGUGCUGCCUUUCACCCCCAUACGUAGGAUCUCGACUUUGGGAAGGUGCGGCCCACGGUGGCAGCCGCAGCAGCAGAGGCAGGGCUGGCACAGCUGAAGAGGAGGAGCUGGAAGCUGGGUCUUGCCUGCCCAGCCUCUUAGAGGCCAGGCCUCCAGCUGGGCCCUAAUUCGCAAGGCUGCUGCCAGCACUCAUUCAUAAAUGAUGAAAAAGCUCUCAGCAAAUGCCGAGCCAUGCAUCAGGCCCCAAGGCCCCUGCUGGGGACCUGAGCACUGAGCAGACUGAGUCCCCAAGCGGCACUCCCGGACUGAUCCAUCUGGUGCAUUCAUCCACCCAGCAGACAUUCGCUUAGGCCACGGACUUGGAUGCUCUGGAAUCGUGAGUGGAGGCCGCUGUCCCUGACCUCUAGGAACCAUAAGCAGAAAUCCGGUGAUAUGGCACGGUACCCAAGUCUAGGCUCUGACUCGGAACUCGGAGAGCAGAGAGAAGAAGUGUCACCAUAGCUAGGGAUGGAGGUCACCUGUAAGUUACAUUCUGAUGCAUGCUUGGAAUGGGUGGGCAAUUGCUCCCCUGAAAGAGUUCAUUCCAGCAGGCAAGAUGGCAGUAUGGCUGAAAAGUAGACAAGGAUUUCAAACCACAAUUCUACUUUGAAAUGGGAAAGCAAGCUCAGCCUUUGGGCCUGUUACUUCCUUUAGAUCUUUUGCUUCCAUGUCCUGCGUACUUGGAUAUCAUGCCGGGAGAUUUACAUAGCCUCUGGCCAUCAUCUGCUAGAGACCUUGGACAUAGUGCCCUGAGACGAACAUGGUCUCUUGCCAUCAGCUAGAGUUGACUUAGUUGAUUACUAGCAAGAACACUAGGUGUAUAAUUGGCAGUUGACAGUUUGUAUCCUGGGCUCAUUGUUGGGGAAUGAGUGGGGGGAAUUAUUUCUUCUCUGGAUGGGUUUUCACCAGGAAGGGGAAGCCUCUCCAGGCUGGGAUCCUUACCCAUGUGAUCAGGGGACACUGAGAGUCCAACAGCAGCUUCUCCUGAGGGUCUGAACCAAUAUAAUAGACAAACACAGAAUCACACAGAAGCAAAGCUGGUAUCCUACGCCCCUGGAUUCAGCAGCAGGAAGCGGCCAGGAGAGAGGGUCACCUCCUCUGGGCUCUGGAUUCUGAGAAGAGGAAUGCCAUUCCAUCACAUGGGAACAAGUGCUUCUAGACUGGGAAUCUCAACUCAUCUUCUCUUUCUCCAAGCAAAGCUACCGUGGUUCCCAACAUUGGGAGAAGCAGAGGGAUGUUGAAAAUUAUAUGAUUUUUUUUUUAGGUGAAUCCCACCCAAAACCAGACUGAAAUCUCACAGGCUUUCAGGUCCCGGGACCUGGUGUCUUUUGGGUCGAGCCGAUGUUUGGUAAGAUCUGUUUGCACAGGGGAGAGGGGAAGCCAUCAUCACUGAGCACCUAGCAACUGCCUGGGUUUGUGGUUGAGCUGAUCUAAUCCUCACAAUAGCCCUUUAAGUCAGUGUUAUCACCUUCCCUUUAUAAAGCCGGAUACUCAGAUUUAAGGAGUGCUGAGGCAAAUUCCCCAAGAUCAUGCUCCUAAUCAGGAACAAAGGCAAAAGUCAAAGUCAAGUGCACCUGACUGGAAGUCAUCCUUUGUAAUAAAACCCCUCCGUCUGUGGCAGGCAAAUCCUAAGGAGGCCCCGAGAUAUCUCUGGGAGGGUAGGUGGAGUCUGGGAAUGUGCUGAUGGGAUCAUCUGAUAGAGACUGCCUGUGCAGGCUGGAGAAGCAGCAGCCAUGGAUAUAUGUCCCCUCAGCUCCCAGCCUGGAAGCAAGGAAAGGGCUCUGCUUUUGUGAACUGUCAGUGGGGUCACAGGGCAAGCCACCAUGGGCAGCUUCAAGGCUCCUGGCUAAUGGAGAGUGGGUUGGCAGGCCUCCAACAGACAACCACAACUGACUCUUUUCUGUCAGCAACCAGAGGACAGAAUGUAUCCCAUCCCACACCUCAUCUGUAUGCUCGGGACACUUGAGCAGAGGGCCUACAGAACAUGUCCCCAUUCCCAAGCCAAGGUAACAGGGAGUCCAUGUCUGAGCUCUUUGAAGCCACUGAGAUUUUCGUGAUGAGUUGUAGAAGUAUUUUUUUUAAAAAAAAACUGAAUAUAUGCCUCACAGAAAGAGUUCAUCUUGCCUUUGGGAGCUCAAAGCAGCCUUGAAAGGAGCUGUAGUCCCAGGGAGAAGGUCAUGUCACCUUUGGGAAACUGUUUCCUCUAAGACUAAGUUGAGGCUAAGUGACAACUGAAAUGGGCCCCUGGUUAAGAUUUAUAUCACAGGGUUGGCUGUGGGGAGCAAUGGAUGGAUCAUAGUAAUGUGCAUUCUUAGACUCCACAGUGAACUGUGUGUGUGCAUGCGUGUGCGUGUGUGUGUGUGUGUGUGUGUGUGUGUGUGUGUGUGUGUGCGCGCGCGUCCAUGUCCAUGUGUGUACGAGCACCCUCAUAUAUACAGGCCCAGGAGCAAUGCUGGGCGUUGUUCAAUUGCUGUCCACUUACUUCAUUUUGGAGACAGGGUCUCUUACUAGCUUAGAACCCCCCAAGUAGACUAACCCCAGGAUCCACCUGCCUUCACUCCUCACCCUGGGGUUAUAAGCACGAGUCACUAUGCCUGGCUGUUAGUUUUGCUUCUUUUUUAUUUAUUUAUUUCAAAAAGAUGGGUUCUGGGGAUUGAACUCAGGUCCUUGUGCAUUCAAGACAAGUAUUUUCUGGGCUAUCCCCCUAGGCCUUCCACAGUGAAUUACCAAGGCUCAGUGGUAAACCAGACUGUGCAUGCUGUAUUCUCUUAGAGAGCAAUACACAGCGGUGUUCAGGAGUCUGCUGGUUCUGGCAGUCGAAUGUGAAGCUGAAUUCAUCUUGAGUUCACUUCCUGGGGGCUGCUAGCAUGAAGUCCCACACCCUGGGAGGGUGGCUUCAAACAGCUGGCUUUACUCUCUCUUGUACCUGGGAACCUUCAGGUAUGGACUGGGCCAUGCUCUCUGGUUCCAAGAGAGAGCCUGGCCUAUGCCCUCUCCUCUUCCUCUCUCCCCUGUUCUCAUAGGCACCCAGGAUAUUGGAUUCUGGCCACCUUAGCAGAGCACGACCUUAACUUGGUAACAUUUGGUUCUAAAGACCUUCUCUGGUUCUCUAUCAUUACGGGGGACAAUACAGUCUACAACCCACCCCCCAAAUCUACAUAUGAUGUGACUAAAAGGCAUUGGGAACGCCCUCUUCCCACCUACCCCUCCUGCCCCUUUCAGACGAUAUUAUUUUAGAUACCUCUGCCAAUAUUUUCUGGAACUUUCUGGCCCCUGAUGUCUCAUAUUCCUCACUGGCUUCUGGAGCACAAUGGAUACCAGGAGACACAGGGAAAACGAAUGAUCAAGGGAAAUGGAGCAGGUGAGGUGGGGCAGAGGUGUGAGUGUGUGGGGAGACAGGGUGACAGCUACGGCAGGUAACACCGUUGGUGCCCAGGUUAGAUUUCUAAGCAAAAUAAAGAAAGCUGUCUUAUAGGUUCAAAGAAAACACUGGCACUGUAGAUAAGCAGGGACCCCUCCUCUUCCCCACCUCCUCUGGCUUCUCUCUCGUGAGCGUCUGGUGUGGAGGAGGAAGAUUCUUCUGCAGGGUGCCUCACACAACCAGAAUGGCCAGGUCACCACGGGGUAACCUGAGAGGACGAAGCAGAGUCUCGACACCCACGCCCCAGCCUGGGGUGUUCCGUUACCCGACCUGAGUGUGGGUAACAGGAUCCAGGCAAACAAGAGCUUCAGGUACCAAUUGAGGGUCUCCUGUGCUCCCCGGUGAGCACAAACAGGGAGUCAUCUAGCCAGGUUGGGGACUGUCAGGAUAUGCAGUGUCAUGUGUUACAAAAAGGAUGUGCAGGUGUGAGAUGUCUGUGCGUGUGUGCAUACUGCAAUCGCUUUCCGCCCUGGGAGGACCUAGGUGGUCCGCACACACCGGGACCUUGUGUGAUCUGAGUCAUGCCACCACACAUGAACUGGCACCAAGACCAACAGGAAACACUGCUCACCCAUCACCUGUCUACAGAGAUUCCUUGCACUCCAAGGAACCAUACUUCCCAGCUUCCCUUGCCUCUGGUUCCUCAGCAGGCUUGGCCAAAGGGAAGCUCUAUCUGGUGUUUAUAACAGGAGCCAGCCAUCGGUCCUUAGUUAUAGCAACACUGGCUGCAGGGUGCAGGAGGCUCUACUCCGACCUCCCUGCCUGGCAUCACGGUUUUGAAGUUACCUAUAGAGUAGCCUGGGUCAUUAUUGUGCUUUGGCUUCUCCAGGGACCAGAACCAGGGUGCUGACAGACAGAGGUCUCCAGUCAGUAGAGACCAUGCUGCUUCAAGCAGCACUGUGGGGAGGAGGCGUGAGCAGGGUAGGGAGGAGCACCAGUUCCUCCUGGAAGUGGAGUAGGCAAGGCUUCUGAGAAGCGCCAGACCUUCCCAUGUUUCAGCUGUGGGCUCCUGCAGGGAGCUACUACCUCAUGUCCUUCUGUCACUGACCCAGAGUCAUCCAUCACUCUCAUCCUGGAUCUAGAGGGCAACAACCUUCCUGGACUGUGGCUAGAGAGACAACUCUGGAACCGGACUCCUUAGGUUCAAAUCCCGACCUUAGCCCUGUCUAUGAAAUGAAGACAAAGUUUUAAGAAAUUAGUUAAGGCAUGGGAGCCUUGUACAGUCCAGUCCAACUAGAGUGGGGCGGUCGAGCCUGCUUGCCCCUGCACAUGGCCUCACUAUGACACACCGUCCACUCUGUCGCCCACAGUGUGUUCCCCUAAAUUCCCGCAUCUAGUCUAUUUCCAAGAUGAAAAACAGACCGAAUGCAUGCUUCCUCCCUCACCCUCCUCGGAUCCCAUUGUGCCUACUCUGAAUUCUUCUCACGUGUUCCUAACAAUGUCCUGCCCUUGUGCCUUGUUCCUCCCAUUCCUCAUUGCCCGGAGGCUGUGAGCACUCAGCCUCACGAUGUUUCACCCAGCACCUUUCAGCUGGGAGGGCAGGCAUAGGCUCCUCACAGGCGAGGACAGGGUCGUUAGCUUCGUCCUCUGCCUCCUCCAGUGCUCCUGCACCCAGCCUGCUGUCUGCUCAUUUCUAAGGCAAUCCAUGGCUCCUCUUCACACCUACCCAGAGACUCCUCAAUGCCCAGGGUUGAAGUUGGCUGCGAUGCCUAGAGCGUCCUCCCUCCGUGCCUCCGCACCCACCUUCUGUCCUGAGCCCUCUUUUUCCUGUCCUCCCUCACCACCCGACAAACUCAUGGUUAACUCCCCAGCCUAGCUCACACAGGUGUCCACAAUUCCUCAGAGGCCUCCCCUCUCGCUGAAGCUCCUGUGUGCACAGGGCCGCAUGUUUGUGUAUAAAACGGCUGUGUGUAAAACCGUGAUGGCUGCCUGUCUGUCUGUCUCUCUCUCUCCACACUGGAUGCUCAGACUCUUUGAGGAACAGGCCAGCAUUUUAGGAGUCACAGAGAACUCCAUUAAGAGUCAGCAGAUGAACAAGGAGUGCGCACUGUGUGAAUGAAUGAAGACGGGCUAUCUCUGUGUGGCCCUUUCUCCCGCCUGAGGGAAUCCUGCCCAUUCUGUAAAGGGACAGAGGCAGGACCACUUCCUCCGAGAAGCCCUUCCUGAUUUCUCCCCAGGCAGACAGAGACUAAGUCAUUCCAGACUUGAGACAUAAGGCAUUUCUCCUGACCGAGGGUUCCAGCAUAUCCUCCUUCACUUAGGAGCCCCUCAAGGGCAGGCUUCAUGCUAAGCCUGCUAGAGUGGCUGGAAGGGUCCUGUUGGAACUCAGGUUAAGGCAUGCCUGGGUUAAUCCAAGUCCAAUUCUCCUCCUGCCGUGUUACCUUGUGAGGCUGACAGGACCUCAUGGAGUUUAUGAGGAUAACGUGAGAGCAACAGGUUCCAAGGCCUGAACCUGGGGAGGGCCAUGUCAUUCUAGACAGCUCUACACCACAGAAUUUGCUGACAAAGUCCCUUUUCUUCCAGCAUCCCCAAAAGGCACUUGUGAAACAACUACUGAAUGAGUGAAUGAGUGAAUGAAUGAAUGAAUGAAUGAAUGAGUGAAUGAAUGAACGCACAAAUCCGUGAGUCCCCAGAACUUAGCAAGGGCUAGGUACCUGCGUCUCCAACGAGCUGAGUAUAUCAGAUUCAAACAACAACAAUCAGAAGCCCUAAGUUAGGAAUUGUUGGGGGGCAUCUGAGGGUUGGAGCAGGCCACCUGGGGCGCCUUUGUUAACUCCACAUUCUAUUUUCCUUGUGGGUAACUUUUCUUGAAGCUAACACACAGAGCACACUCCUGAGAGAGGAGUUAGAUGGGCAAGCUUCCUCACCCUUGUAACAACCACGCAGGUGAUGACGGAACAUGUCCCCUGCCUGGCAGGCUCCCUUUGUCUCCCGUCCAUCAGUGCCCCCAGAGAAGCCAUUUUGCUAGCCAUUUUGCCUAGACAGUCUUGCCGCUGUUCAACAUGAUCUGAGCGGAAGCCUGCAGGAUGAUCACAGUUUUCCCACCUGUUGUGUGCUAGCUAGCCAGGAGUCAGUAGGUGAGUGCCGUCGUUGGGAUCUGGGUGUGGACUUGGGGUGGCAUCCCCUGUGAGACCUUCCCUGGAGGUUUGAUGUGUGUGGGGAGUGUCUUCUCAGAGAGCUGUCUUAGCAGACUGCCCCCUGUCUCACUGAAAGCACAUCAUCCUCAGAGCUGCCCUGUCUUACAGUAGCCUCCAUCCUCUGAGUCACAUCUGAACCCAGCAUCGUUGGUCACAGAGCUCUACCCUCCUCCCCGUCUCCCUCUUCCUCCUCCUCUUCCUCCUCCUCCAUGAAGCCUUCCAUGCUCACCUGGCCCACAGCCAGUGUGUAACAACCCCUGGGAUGCCCCUGCUGGGUGGGCCCUGCUUGCACACCACACCCAGCCUCUCCCUGUAGCAUUAAUUGCUUGCAUGGUGACCCGCCCCCACCUCCUGGGGGGGUGUCACUGUAGGUUCUCUGGGAUAUUCACAGGGCGCAGAGACAAUUUGAUCCCCCUCUCUUUAUUACUGUGUAGCAUUGCAUGGUAGCUUUUAGCAUGGGGCUGAGAAAGAAUUCAGACCAGGCUUCGGAGUCAGAGACCUGGCUGUCAGAACCCACUGUGUCUUGGGCAGUCAUAGGGCAUGCCACUGUGGAAUGCCUGUGUGUUAGUAGCAGUAGGCCAUAGCCAGUACUGUAACUGAAUGGUAGCUGGGGUAAAGGAGGAAACCCUGAGGCAACUGAUUGUUAUUAGAGCCCCAAAUUCACUAGGCUGCUGCCUUUGCAGCCUUAAGCAAGUGUCUGGACUUCCCGUUCCCUCGGUUUCUCCAUCUAUGGGAAGUAGCAAUUGUUGCUGCCUCGGAGGGAGGCUGAGGAUUAAGCAGGCUAAUGUCUAUUAAUGUGUAUAAACCACUCAAGGCAGCUGCUGGCGCACAGGAAGGACCAUUGCAACUACUAGCUCUCCUUCUGUCCACAAUCCACCUGAUUACCUGGUAGUUAAUUCAAUAAUUAAUUAAACACCGUUAAAUCCUGGCUGUUAAGAGGAGGGACGGGAUAACGAAAGGGAAGCACACGGAGCAGGAGAUAAUAGAUACUGUGCUUGGUCCGCAGAGAGCACUUGAGAGCCGUUGUAAUUAUGAUAAAGAGAAAGGUGAUCAGCAGGGGGCGGGGCAGAUGAGCUGCCCGUGUUGGAGGAGAAAGCACACACCGUGGGGACUGGAUGGGGCUAGCCUGGGCUUCUCCCUGCUUGCUCCACUUCUAAAAGGGAAGAAGGUCUCCUGAAGGUCUGGACCCAUCUUGUCAGUGCCUGGAACCAACUAAUAUUUUAUAACGUGUUGAUUUUAAGCCAGAUAUGGGCAAGCAACAUAUGCAUAUAUACACAUGUGUGUAUAUGUAUAUGAAAUAUACAACCAUAUAUGAAAUAUA